rnacentral:rRNA from 1 species
GACGAACGCUGGCGGCGUGCUUAACACAUGCGAGUCGAACGGAAAGGCCCUGCUUUUGUGGGGUGCUCGAGUGGCGAACGGGUGAGUAACACGUGAGUAACCUGCCCUUGACUUUGGGAUAACUUCAGGAAACUGGGGCUAAUACCGGAUAGGAGCUCCUGCUGCAUGGUGGGGGUUGGAAAGUUUCGGCGGUUGGGGAUGGACUCGCGGCUUAUCAGCUUGUUGGUGGGGUAGUGGCUUACCAAGGCUUUGACGGGUAGCCGGCCUGAGAGGGUGACCGGCCACAUUGGGACUGAGAUACGCCCCAGACUCCUACGGGAGGCAGCAGUGGGGAAUAUUGCACAAUGGGCGGAAGCCUGAUGCAGCAACGCCGCGUGCGGGAUGACGGCCUUCGGGUUGUAAACCGCUUUCGCCUGUGACGAAGCGUGAGUGACGGUAAUGGGUAAAGAAGCACCGGCUAACUACGUG